rnacentral:snoRNA from 1 species
GGGGAGCAUCUGGGAGUUAUGAUGUUACCUGAUAUAAUCUUCCUAAAUUGAACCUUGUAUUGCAACACCUUGUAGUGCCUGAGUAAGUUCUGCAAGUCAACAAUGAGGUACAUAAAA